GACGAACGCUGGCGGCGUGCUUAACACGUGCAAGUCGAACGGAAAGGCCCGGCUUUUGUGGGGUGCUCGAGUGGCGAACGGGUGAGUAACACGUGAGUAACCUGCCCUUGACUUUGGGAUAACUUCAGGAAACUGGGGCUAAUACCGGAUAGGAGCUCCUGCUGCAUGGUGGGGGUUGGAAAGUUUCGGCGGUUGGGGAUGGACUCGCGGCUUAUCAGCUUGUUGGUGGGGUAGUGGCUUACCAAGGCUUUGACGGGUAGCCGGCCUGAGAGGGUGACCGGCCACAUUGGGACUGAGAUACGGCCCAGACUCCUACGGGAGGCAGCAGUGGGGAAUAUUGCACAAUGGGCGGAAGCCUGAUGCAGCAACGCCGCGUGCGGGAUGAAGGCCUUCGGGUUGUAAACCGCUUUCGCCUGUGACGAAGCGUGAGUGACGGUAAUGGGUAAAGAAGCACCGGCUAACUACGUG
rnacentral:rRNA from 1 species